CAUUCAUGGUCCGAGGGCAGGUUCACCUGGAAUUGAGAGUUCCCAUCGCUGGCUGAGUCCUCACUGCCAAAAGUCCCAACUCACCAACCAAAUCUGGAUUCAUAACCAAGUGUUCUGAGUCACCGUGCUGCUCAGGAGCAUGAAGGGCUGGAGGAGGGGGUGGCAGCAGCUCGGUGGUCCCCGUCAGCCCCCACGCACCCCAAGCUGUGCCCCACACCUUCAGCACAGGACGUUCUCCGUUGGGAUUACAGCCCACUCCAGAACUCCGAGAUUCAAUCUGUGUGUGCAAUCUGCAUCUCUGAAAGGAGCCUGGAGCCAUCCUGCAGGAGCACCCAGGAGUCUCCAUCACCUUUUGCUGGGAGCUACAGAAAUGCAGCGUGAAAAUGCAGCUGUGGUGGCAGAGCUGAGAACUUCACGUGGAGGCACGAGCCGGCAGAUGGGAGGAUCUGGUGGGCUGAGGAGCACGGCGAAGCAGCGAGACAGCAGUGCCUGCCACAGCAGGCAAGAGCAGUCCAACCUGGGGGGGUUGCUGGAAAA